rnacentral:tRNA from 1 species
AAGUAAGAAGCAUUUAAUGUAAUUAGUUUCGACCUAAAAGAAGAUAUAAAUAUAUCCUUAUUUA